AGCAUUGCUGACCUCUCUGGGUUUCAGGACCUGCUCAAGACCCAGGCUGUAGUCACAGUCAGGUUUAUGCAGACUCAAAACACUUGUUUGUCUUUCUGCAGAAACUGAGGCCAAACUCCGGCAGAUCUAAUUGACCUCUCAGACAGAUAGUUAGUAAAGAUGAGGACUAUUUUUUCUUCCCCCUAGUUUUUGUGCCACGUGCCAUGCUGAUCAAACAAUACUGUUGCCUGACUCUGGGAACUCCAGAGUUACACCACAGCCUAAGCAGCUCUCUCUUCCCCAGUUCUCAUACAACUCAUUAUGUGAAUAGAACUUAAGUGAUGCUUGGCAGAGAUGGAAACUGCAUAGAAAACACCCACGUCCCAGUCCAAAAGAUACGUUUGCUUUACCAGGAACACUGGAUGCUGAAUAGCCAUGUGUGCAAAUACUCUGUCUUAACGAACCUGACUCCAAAUUCUUCCAAUGACCUCCUCAUGCUCCCUCAUCUGCCCUGAUCUCUGAUGUCGCAGGGACUUCUUCAGUGCCUUCCACACUUGCCAAUAAAUGAAAUGGAGCAGCACGGCACAAAGCCUGUGAGCCCUCCACCAAGAAUUUAAGCAGUCUGGUGGUCUGCAGCAGAGGAAGCCAUCUGCUCUUAACUUCAUUUCCAGUGGCCAAAGGACACCUUGUGGAGAACUGCUGAUGUUCCUUGUAAUGUCGUAAAGAAGGUGAACAAAGCACUUCUUCCUGGGCUUCACCACUGUCUUCUUCCAAAGGCUCAGCACUGCAUUUUCUGCAGCGCUCACCUCAUGCCUACUGAUGCAGACAAAGACUUGACCGGCAGCACGACUGAACAGAGAUCACAAGAUCCUUCCUGUGAUUCAUUGAUCUUGAUGAACCUCAACCUGACUGAUGUCCUCAUAAGGAGAGGUGCAGGAAAUAAAAUCCCAACAGAGACAAGUUACUGACCACUCACACCGACUGGACAAAUUACCUAUAGAUGAGUUACUGACCACUCACACUGACUGGACAAAUUACCUAUGAGCAUCUUCAAUACAACAAGCAAAUGUUUGAACUUCUCCACUUAAACAGACUUUUGAGGAUGAACUCAAGGAAAUUGGAAAUACUCCUAAAACAUGACGUGUGCCUUGGAUUAGCUGUUUUCCAAGUGGUGCAUGUGACAACAAGCAUUUGGUGUCCCAGGGUACAUACGUUGUCCUGCUGAUGGCGAAAGGAUCUCAAGCUCGAUCUGCUUUUUAUCAGCAUGCCAACUGAUGAUUUUUCCCUCCUUCAUAAAGCAACAAAGAAAGAAUCAGCCAGUUUUGGGUUCUAGUUUUUUGUUUUACUGCUGCACCAGGAAUAGCUUGUGGAGUCAACUGGAUGAGAGGAAAAACACUGCACAACCUCAAAAUAUUUAAGUCUUACCUCACCUAUAAUAGUUUAGUGAGUGAAUUACAGGAGGAAAGAAACCAGUACCUUAUAGUCUGAAACUUCAGGACAGUAAUUUUCAGUUAGUUCCAAGCGCUGUUGAAAGAAACACAAGUAAUAAAUUACAACUUUUCCAGAUCCCUGAUGAUGCCACCUGUACCCAGAGAGUGUUUCUUCAGCAAGAGGAAAGUGCAAAAAUCAGGUUUCGCACUCCUGGAUCCUGAUGCCAGUCACAGGCCCAGACAGUCUUCCAGGAUUUACAGUUCCAAAGGAUUUAGUUCAGGUCAGGCUGUGAGAGGAGAUCAGGGAGAUGGAUCCCAGUCUCCUCAACCACACAGUGAUUUAUUUCAUUUCCAUUUACUUUUUUAUUUUGCAGAAAACUAUUUGUACGGUAAAAUUUGCAAUAACAUUAUAGAAACACUACAGAGAAAUGGCAUAGAGGUAUCUUUCCUUUUUAUAGCACCUAAUUUUAAUGCUGACUUUCCUUGAAACUUUUAAAAAUGAACAAAUAAGUAGGAUGAAGACUCCUUCCCAACUCUUAUACUUCUAGGGUAACAGCCCAGAACAAUGCAAGAUGAAAUUCUUCAGUGUAAGCUUUUUGAUGUCAGGACUAUGUGAUCUGUAUCAUGUCCUGCAAAACUUACCAUGGCCCAAAUGAAACCAUUUUAGCCCACUAACGUUGAGUAUUUCACAAGUUCCUUACCUUAAAGGCAAUUCUUUGUCCCACUUGUGGUGGAGCAGCUAGAAGAGGUAACACACUAUAGUCUCUCUUGGGGACCUCUACGGGAUUCUGUGGAACGAACAGUAAAUCCACUGAUUUAAUUACUGCACUAAUAAACUGGAAGGCAAAGUAAGGAUUGUAAGAUGUUCUGAGAAGAAUUACGGUACAUAUCUGAGUACUUUGCUUUGACAGACAUAAUACAAUCACUUAAAUAUUGUUUCAUAAACACUUCCUCAGGCUGCUGAAUGAAGAUACAGUAAAUAUCAGGUUUACUGAGUUAA